UAGGGAAUCUUCGGCAAUGGACGAAAGUCUGACCGAGCAACGCCGCGUGAGUGAAGAAGGUUUUCGGAUCGUAAAACUCUGUUGUUAGAGAAGAACAAGGACGUUAGUAACUGAACGUCCCCUGACGGUAUCUAACCAGAAAGCCACGGCUAACUCCGUGCCAGCAGCCGCGGUAAUACGUAGGUGGCAAGCGUUGUCCGGAUUUAUUGGGCGUAAAGCGAGCGCAGGCGGUUUCUUAAGUCUGAUGUGAAAGCCCCCGGCUCAACCGGGGAGGGUCAUUGGAAACUGGGAGACUUGAGUGCAGAAGAGGAGAGUGGAAUUCCAUGUGUAGCGGUGAAAUGCGUAGAUAUAUGGAGGAACACCAGUGGCGAAGGCGGCUCUCUGGUCUGUAACUGUCGCUGAGGCUCGAAAGCGUGGGGAGCAAACAGG
rnacentral:rRNA from 1 species